UUUGGGAUGCAGCUCACUGGUAGAGUGUUUGCCUAGCAUGUGCAAGGCCCUAGGUUCAAUUCAUGGUGCCAAAA
rnacentral:tRNA from 1 species